AAGAGACACUCUGAAGCUGUGCUUUCAGGAGGAAUUUGUAAGAAGGUAGGGGAAGCAGGGUAGAGCAGGGGAAAGGGCUAAACAAAGAUGAGGUGUUAGUCGAGGUUGAAUUUCAGUCUUACCUAUGGAAUUCUGGAGUGUGAAUGACACCACAGAGUUGUCCACUUUGAGGCAAGGAGACUCAGGUUGCAAACCCUCUUAUUAAUCAGUGACCAGCUACAGGAUGCCCUGAGGGGAAAUACUGAUUCCCAGGCAUUUUUCCAAAGAGGUGGCUUCCACUGGCCAAGAAUAAUUCUCUAGAGAAAGGUAUAUGUUUAAGUCAUUAGCAGCAACACUUACAACAUUUGGAAACAUGGUAUUAGGGCAGUAAAGGGGCUCAGGGCAGGGUACCAGCAGUAUCUAAUACAACCACAAAAAUAAAAGCAAGGAACUUGGAUUUGAUUUAAUAAAUCCAGGGUUUCCCAUCUGUAGACUGAGGCAAAAAUCCUGGAGCUGCUAUUAAUUCUGAAAUAGAGCAGAUGAAAGGGAUCGAUUAUUGUGUGACUAUCUCACUGGGAAAACUAAUGUAAUUAACAGAAAGAUACCAACAGACAAAGUAAGAAGAGAUAAAAAUUUCUUGAAAAGAAAAAGGUGGAGUUCCUGUCGUGGCUCAGUAGUUAACGAAUCCAACUAGGAACCAUGAAGUUUUGGGUUCGAUUCCUGGCCCUGCUCAGCGGGUUAAAGAUCCGGCGUUACCGUGAGCUGUGGUAUAGGUUGCAGACACGGCUUAGAUCUGGCGUUGCUGUGGCUGUGAUAUAGGCUGGCAGCUACAGCUGCAAUUAGACUCCUAGCCUGGGAACCUCCAUACGCUGUGGGUGUGGCCCUGGAAAAGACAAAAAAAAAAAAGAAAAAGGUAAUAAAAUUUAUGGAUAUAGUCAAAGGACAGAUACCAAAGAGAAAAAUACUGGAGUUCCCUGAUGGCUCACUAGGUUAAGGACCUGGCAUUGUCACUGCAGCAGCUCAGGUCACUGCUGUGGCAUGGGUUUGAUCCUGGACCAGAAAAUUCUGCAUGCUGCAAGUGUGACCAAAAAAGAAAAAAAUAUUAAAGAAGACAUAGACUUGAUGAGGAAUUUAAGAAUAACUAAUGAUAUAUGCAUAGAAAACUAAGCUGACAAAAAGAGAGGGUAUUGUUAAUUUUAAGAACAAUGAAAAGUUGUUCAAGGAAAGAAACAAGUACAAUUAACAAUAUUUACUGGAGUUCCCGUCAUGGCUCAGUGGUUAGUGAACCUGUCUGGCAUCCACAGGGACGUGGGUUCCAUCCCUGGCCUCAGUCAGUGGGUUGAGGAUUCGGCAUUGCUGUGAGCUGUGGUGUAGGAUGCAGAUGCAGCUUGGAUCUUGCAUUGCUGUGGCUGUGGCAUAGGCCAGCAACUGCAGCUCCAAUUUGACUCCUAGCCUGAGAAUGUCCACAUGCCUUGAGUGAAGCCCUAAAAAGCAAAACAAAACAAAACAAUUAACAACAUUCACAACACGAAUAAACAACAUUACUCAUUGAAUUCUGAUUUAAAUUAUGAUUGACAACGUUAGUAAGUUAACAUUUUUACAUUCUCAAUGACCUAAAAAUAAAUGUCAAUAAAAUCUGGGAGAGGAGUUCCCCUUUUGGCUCAGUGGAAAUGAAUCUGACUAGUAUCCAUGAGGACAGUUUCCAUCCCUAGCCUUGCUCAGUGGGUUAAAGAUUCGGCAUUGCCGUGAGCUGUGGUGAAGGUUGCAGAUGCGUCUCAGAUCUGGCAUUGCUGUGGCUGUGGCAUAGGCCAGCGGCUAGAGCUCCGAUUUGACCCCUAGCCUGGGAACCUCCAUAUCCUGUUGGUGCAGCCCCCAAAAGCAAAAAAAGCGAAAAAAAAAAUCUGGGAAAUAUCUCUCCCUCUUUCUCUCUUCCCUUCUCUUUCAGUCUCUACUCUCUUACCUAAACAUUAUAAUUUUUUUUGUGUGUUUUGUUUUUCAGGGCCGCACCCAAGGCAUAUGGAGAUUCCCAGGCUAAGGGUCGAGUUGGAACUACAGCUGCCAGCCUACACCACAGCUCACGGCAACACCAGAUUCUUAACCCACUGAUCGAGGCCAGGGAUUGAAUCUGUGUCCUCACAGAUGCUAGUCAGAUUUAUUUGUCUACAGCUGAGCCACGAUGGAAACUCCUCUCCCUUAUAUUGUAAUCUCUACCUCUAGCUCUAACUCAUCUUUGCCUCCCCUAACCGUAGUAAUUAAAGCAAAGUCUUGGAUUUUAUUUUUGUGUAUGAUGUGAGGCACCCAGAUUCAUUCUUCUGCAUGGGGAUAUCCAGUUGUCCCAUCAGCCUUUGUUGAAAAGACUAUUCUUUCCUACAUUGAAUGGUCUUGAAUCUUUUGUAAAAAAUCAAUUGAAAAAGUUCAUAUUCUGGAAUUCAUUGGGCAUUGUCACUGCUGUGGCUUGCUUUUCAUCCCUCCCCAGGAACGUCCACAUGCCGAAGGCAUGGCCAACAACAACAAAAAAAUCAAUCUGCCAUAUAUGUGAGUUUAUUUCUAGACUUUUUAGUCCACUGGUCUAUUCUUAUGCCAAAACCACUCUAUUUUGGUGACUGGAGCUUUGUAGUAAGUUUUGAAAUCAGGAAGUGUGAAUCUCCAACUUUGUUCUUUUCCAAGAUCAUUUUGGCUAUUGAUGGCAGGAAUUUCCCUUUAACUCCAAAGUCCAUUUCUGCUUUUAGCCAGGUUUGUCACUGUUUCCAGACCACCAUUGGCACCUCCAGCUAUGACAACAUUAUUUGGAGUAAUGCCAGACCUCCAAACAGGGCAUUAUUCCUCUGAGUAGAAACAUAGGUACCUGGGUUUUUGUGAAACCACAUUUAUUUCAUGAGAAAAAAAUUAAGUCAAGGUUUCUGUUGUAGUUUUUUGGUAUCAUACAAGUGAAAGCAGCAUAUUGAUAGGAUGAACUAUUUAUCUAAAUAGAAGGCACAGAAAUCAAUUUUCAUAGUUUAGAUGCAACUCUAGACACCAUGGCAAGUGCAACAUGGUGGACCCAAAGUUAAGGUCUGAAUGAUACUCUUGCUGUGUGAGGUAGAAGCCAGGUCCAUCUGAACAAAAUUUCAUGGGUAUACUUUUUUUUCCUAUUGCCCUUCCCUUCCCAAUUCCCAUCUUCUUUUCUUCUUGCUAACUUCCUUCCUGCUCCUAUUCUCACACCUCCUUCUUUGAACAUCUUUCCAUCCUCCUCCUCUUUUCCUUGCCCUGCCUUCUCCUCCCUGCCCUUUAAAACUCCAAUCCCCUCUCUAAAUUCCAACUCAACUUUAGGAAAACAAGUUGGUUAAAGUGAUCCUCAGAAAGCGGUGUCAACAACAAACUCACUAGCACCCUUUAGCCCUCAGUGUUCAUUAAACCCAAGAAGAAGCUAGCAGGUAAAAUAAGCGCAGACUGUCUAGGAAAGGUGUUUGGGUCCCUUUAGGUCUCCCAUGAAAUCGCUUUACUGAGCCUAUGGUGCAUAUAUUUUAAGACAACCUAGAAUUCUGUCUUGAUUUUCAUUUUAAUUUAGAGGGUGGCUGUGAUGUGCAGCAGGGAGUGUUUUAGAGGGGAGUUCCUUUGAUCCCACUGUGGUCAAGUCUGAGCCUUUCCUUUUAGUCCACUGGACAUCUACAAGUUUUCACUUUCUACUCCGGGCUACUGUGCCUUGUGUUGUCCACCCAGGGUCUUUCUUCUGGAAUGGUCAGCAUGUUUUACGUUGCCUGCUGUCACUGACUUCCAUAAGAAGGACCCUGACCUUGAUGGAGAUUCCCCUUUCUUGUGGCUCCCCAGCAGUGAAGAGGACUGCCUGCAGUUGUAGGGUCUAUUCUUGGAACUUCCUCUCCCAAAAGCACUGAGUAGAAAACCCAGUUGCCUGGGCUAGUUUUAGACCACCACUCCUUUUCAUUUCUCAGGGACAGGACUCCCUCACACAACUUCUUGGAUUCCUUUUUGUUUAUUUUCUUAGUUCAUGUAUAUUUCUAACUGGUAUAUUGGAUCUUGUGAACUAUACAGUCCCCAGUUUAGAAACAGUUCAGAUAAUUAUCUGACUUCACCUUCUGAACAUCACUUGACUCUAAUAAGAUAGCAAAGUCUUCAAUUUGUCAGGAGCAGAACUUGAAAGGAAAAAACAAAGCCCAUGACUGUAAUAUUGCAAUAACAAACAGCAGCAUUUAGGAAUUUUAAAAUUAUACUUAGGUUCCUUUGUGUCAGACUUAUUUCACUUAGCAUAACGUCCUCAAGGUGCAUCCAUGCUGUAGCAUGUGUCAGGAUUUCCUUCCUUUUGAAGGCUGAAUAAUAUUCUAUGAUAUGCAUAUACCACACUUUGUUUAUCCACCCAUCUGUUGAUGUACAUUUUGGUUGUUUACACCUUUUGGCUAUUGCGAAUGCUGCAGCUAUGGACUUGGGCAUGUAAAUAUUUUCAACUGUUUGGAGUAUAUACCAUAGAAAUAGAUCACAUGGGAAUUCUAUGAUUAGUUUUUUGAGGAACCACCAUACUGUUUUCCAUAGAGGCUGUACCAUUUUACACCCUUACUAGCAAUGCACGAGGGUUCAAAUUUCUCCACAUCCUCACCAACACUUGUUAUUUUCUGGGGUUUUUUUUUUUUUUUUUUUGAUA
rnacentral:lncRNA from 1 species